rnacentral:rRNA from 1 species
AUUGAGACUUGUAUGAAUGGCUAAACGAGGUCUUAACUGUCUCCUGUAGGUAAUCUAUGAAAUUAGUAUUCCCGUGCAAAAACGAGAAUGUGAACAUAAGACGAGAAGACCCUGUGGAACUUUAAAAUCACGACCACCUUACAACCUUACACAGCCCCACUGGGUCCACCCACACAUAAACCCCUGGUCGACAUUUUUCGGUUGGGGCGACCUUGGAGAAAAAAAAAUCCUCCAAACCCACAGACCACAACUCUUCACUAAGACCAACUCCUCAAAGUACCAACAGUAACCAGACCCAAUAUAAUUGAGCAAUGGACCAAGCUACCCCAGGGAUAACAGCGCAAUCUCCUCCAAGAGCCCAUAUCGACAAGGAGGUUUACGACCUCGAUGUUGGAUCAGGACAACCUAAUGGUGCAACCGCUAUUAAGGGUUCGUUUGUUCAACGAUUAACAGUCCUACGUGAUCUGAGU